rnacentral:rRNA from 1 species
GACGAACGCUGGCGGCGUGCUUAACACAUGCAAGUCGAACGGAAAGGCUCCAGCUUGCUGGAGUGCUCGAGUGGCGAACGGGUGAGUAACACGUGGGCAAUCUGCCCUGCACUCUGGGAUAAGCCUGGGAAACUGGGUCUAAUACCGGAUAGGACCUUUCUCCUCAUGGGGUUUGGUGGAAAGUUUUUCGGUGCAGGAUGAGCCCGCGGCCUAUCAGCUUGUUGGUGGGGUAAUGGCCUACCAAGGCGACGACGGGUAGCCGGCCUGAGAGGGUGAUCGGCCACAUUGGGACUGAGAUACGGCCCAGACUCCUACGGGAGGCAGCAGUGGGGAAUAUUGCACAAUGGGCGAAAGCCUGAUGCAGAGACGCCGCGUGAGGGAUGACGGCCUUCGGGUUGUAAACCUCUUUCAGUAGGGACGAAGCGCAAGUGACGGUACCUGCAGAAGAAGCACCGGCUAACUACGUG